rnacentral:rRNA from 1 species
GUGGGGAAUCUUCCGCAAUGGACGAAAGUCUGACGGAGCAACGCCGCGUGAGUGAAGAAGGUUUUCGGAUCGUAAAGCUCUUUCGUUAGGGACGAACGUGCUCUUUGUGAAUAAUGAGGAGUAAUGACGGUACCUAAAUAAGAAGCCACGGCUAACUACGUGCCAGCAGCCGCGGUAAUACGUAGGUGGCAAGCGGUGUCCGGAAUUAUUGGGCGUAAAGCGCGCGCAGGCGGGAUAUCAAGUCUGUCUUAAAAGUGCGAGGCUCAACCUCGUAAGGGGACAGAAACUGGUAUUCUUGGGUGUCGGAGAGGAAAGUGGAAUUCCAAGUGUAGCGGUGAAAUGCGUAGAGAUUUGGAAGAACACCAGUGGCGAAGGCGACUUUCUGGACGAUGUCUGACGCUGAGGCGCGAAAGCUAGGGGAGCGAACGGGAUUAGAAACCCCAGUAGUCC